rnacentral:rRNA from 1 species
GAUGAACGCUGGCGGCGUGCCUAAUACAUGCAAGUCGAGCGAACAGACGAGGAGCUUGCUCCUCUGACGUUAGCGGCGGACGGGUGAGUAACACGUGGAUAACCUCCCUAUAAUACUGGGAUAACUUCGGGAAACCGGAGCUAAUACCGGAUAAUAUAUUGAACCGCAUGGUUGGAUAGUAAAAUACGGUGUUUCUGUCACUUCUAGAUGGAUCCGCGCCGCAUUAGCUGGUUGGUAAGGUAACGGCUUACCAAGGCAACGCUGCGUAGCCGACCUGAGAGGGUGAUCGGCCACACGGGAACUUGGACACGGUCCAGACGCCUACGGGAGGCAGCAGUCGGGAAUCGGCCGCAAUGGUCGAAAGCUUGACGGAGCAACGCCGCGUGAGUUAUGAAGGUCUUCGGAUCGUAAAACUCUGUUAUUAGGGAAGAACAAAUGUGUAAGUAGCUAUGCACGUCUUGACGGUACCUAAUCAGAAAGCCACGGCUAACUACGUG